CCUACGGGGGGCAGCAGUGGGGAAUAUUGGACAAUGGGGGCAACCCUGAUCCAGCCAUGCCGCGUGUGUGAAGAAGGCCCUCGGGUUGUAAAGCACUUUCAGUGAGGAAGAACGCCUGGUGGUUAAUACCCAUCAGGAAAGACAUCACUCACAGAAGAAGCACCGGCUAACUCCGUGCCAGCAGCCGCGGUAAUACGGAGGGUGCGAGCGUUAAUCGGAAUUACUGGGCGUAAAGCGCGCGUAGGUGGCUUGAUAAGCCGGCUGUGAAAGCCCCGGGCUCAACCUGGGAACGGCAUCCGGAACUGUCAAGCUAGAGUGCAGGAGAGGAAGGUAGAAUUCCCGGAGUAGCGGUGAAAUGCGUAGAGAUCGGGAGGAAUACCAGUGGCGAAGGCGGCCUUCUGGACUGACACUGACACUGAGGUGCGAAAGCGUGGGUAGCAAACAGGAUUAGAUACCCUGGUAGUC
rnacentral:rRNA from 1 species